UGGGGAAUAUUGCACAAUGGGGGAAACCCUGAUGCAGCGACGCCGCGUGAGUGAAGAAGUGUUUCGGCACGUAAAGCUCUGUCAGCAGGGAAGAAGAUGACGGUACCUGACCAAGAAGCCCCGGCUAACUACGUGCCAGCAGCCGCGGUAAUACGUAGGGGGCAAGCGUUAUCCGGAUUUACUGGGUGUAAAGGGAGCGCAGACGGCAGCGCAAGUCCGGGGUGAAAGCCCGCGGCCCAACCGCGGGACUGCCCUGGAAACUGUGCGGCUGGAGUGCCGGAGAGGUAAGCGGAAUUCCUAGUG
rnacentral:rRNA from 1 species